rnacentral:misc_RNA from 1 species
GAUGAAGAACGUAGCGAAAUGCGAUACUUGGUGUGAAUUGCAGAAUCCCGUGAACCAUCGAGUCUUUGAACGCAAGUUGCGCCCGAAGCCUCGGCUAAGGGCACGUCUGCCUGGGCGUCACGCAUCGCGUCUCCCCCAAACCGCCAAGGCGGAGGGGAAGGAAGAUGGCUUCCCGUGCCUCACCCGGGCGCGGUUGGCCUAAAUUUGGAGCCCGCGGCACUUAGCUCUCGCGGCGAUAGGUGGUGAACAAGGCCUUGGCCGUGCAAACAACCCGCUGCGAAGCUCUAUGUCACGUGCGCUCGUCGGACCCUUUGAAGUUGCCUUCGGUGACUUAAAACCUUUGCGACCCCAGGUCAGGCGGGGCUACCCGCUGAAUUUAAGCAUAUCAAUAAGCGGAAGA